CGAGUGGUCAGUGGGUUGCAGGAGCAUCAAAAACAGUGUGUGCAUCCAAACCACUGUGAAUCCCCACACUGUAAAAACAAAAACUUCAAACGUCACAUAUUUUGUCCACUUUGCCCUCAAUGCACGCUUUAUCCAUGUGAGUGUGAGCAGACAUAGAGCACAGCCCUCACUCCUCCAUCCACCAACCGAUGGCAGCAGCAAGCACAGUCAGGCUUCUCAGCACACAGGAUGAAGGAACAAGGGAAGACAGCCCCACGGUCUGACUCCGAGUCCCAGCUGAGGAACCAGCCAAUAGCAUGGACAGCACUACUUCCCAUCAGCAUGACUGUCAGACUGGCAGCCACUACAUCCUGCUAAUAUUCAGAGCAAAUUUCUCAUGAAAUGCCCUGUAUCUGCUCCUCACAUAUGCAAAGCUGAACAAUGAGUUCCCAUCCAUGGAUUCUGCACUGGAGUCUCAUGUGAUGAGAGCUGUAGUGUAAUGAAGACCACAGCUCUGACAUGAAAAUGAUGAUGCUAUUUUCUCAUUAACCAAAUCCUCUGAUGUGUCGUCGCCAACAUUGCGCACGUGGCUUCAACGAAGAUGAAACGACCGACAGCUGUCCUAGCGCCAUGUUCACUCCAUUCGUCUCAGGAAAAACCCAUCCCAACCUGAUUAGAGCAAUGGAGAGAGGGUGGCUUAAAACAGCUAAGCCUUUGCAUAACUCGUCUUCAAGUCAAUCAGAAAAAUUAGGGAGGAUCUGCUGCCUAACCUUCAAACAAAUAUUUUGGAAUUGUCUGAAUUAUAUAAAUUAUUCAAGAUAGAAGAGAAAGGAGAUAAGGAAAGCAGAAAGAAAGCUGAGGAGUGGCAUCAAAAUGGCAACACUAAACUAUCCAAGAUCUCCUGAAAAAAAAAAACACCCCAGUGGAGAAGAAGAUCCCACUCUUCACCAUUAUUCUUCGCGUGUUGUUUGAGAAUCCCAGACUGUCUUCUGGCUCCCGUUCUUCCCCCUCCUUGGACGCCAUGACAACUGUCACAUGACCCUGCAAACACAGCGUCUCCAGGUCUGCACCAGGCCCCAGCUGCUCCUCUGUCUGGAAUGAGCAAGACGAUUUUGUUGCUGAGAUGCACGGAGCCCCCCGGCUGACCUUUCCCUGUGCCAGUGAGUACCUGUGGCAUGCAAGGGAGAAAGCCUAUCAGGACCACAGGAGAAAGGUCCAGAGCGCCCAGCCGCUGGUAGACACCCGCGCCCCGCUGACGUUCCGCCAUCUCCACCUGAAACUCAAGAGGCUGAAGGAAGUGAAACUGGAUUAGCAAGCGCACAGCCAAGCCUGGACCCUAAAAGAGAAGUGAGGAAGGGUAAGGAUUCAGAACACAAAUCCAGAAAGAAGACAAGUGUGAUGAGGGAGUCACAAGGAAGACCCACAAGGCCAGCCAUGAGCUCCCCCAGGCUAACACAGCCAGCGGUCUCAGGGCAGUGUGGGGAAUCAGCCUUGCCCAGGGCCGGGGCCAGGGCAGCCCCGCUGUCUUCCUCUCUUCACUGUUAUCACAGCCGGAGCAGCUGUGAAGUGCCCAGGAGGCAGCUCCUCAAACGGUGUUUCAACAAUGUGCCCGAGCAGAUGACGCAGCAAAACUAUUUUCUGUGCUUCUUGGACUCUGAUAACUGGAAACAAACUAUGCAGAGUCAUGUUAGGAGGUGAGGGUUUGAAUUAGAUUGUUUUCUCUAGCUAUGAAGACUUAUUCUGUUACUGUAUUUUGAGCUGUGGUGGAUUUGUCUAUAAUUCCUAGGUGGAUUUUUAACUUACCUUAAAAGCUCUGUGAUUGUUCCUUUAACAAAUAUCUAAAUAAAUCAGAUUAAAAUUUUUGAACGUGAUGAAACUACAGCUUGACUCCAGAAUACAUAACCUAAGAUAUAAAAAAGACCCAGAGGGCCAGGCACGAUGGCUCACGCCUGUAAUCCCAGCACUUUGAGGGGCCGAGGUGGGCGGAUCACAAGGUGAGGAGUUCGAGACCAGCCUGACCAACAUGGUGAAACCCCAUCUCUACUAAAAAUACAAAGAAGUUAGCCAGGCAUGGUGGCGGGCACCUGUAAUCCCAGCUACUCAGAAGGCUGAGGCAGGAGAAUCGCUUGAACCUGGG
rnacentral:lncRNA from 10 species